CAAAGAUUAGUUUCAAAAUACAGUUUUUCGGUCAUUUAAUACUCCAAAAGUUGAUCCAACCUUUUAACUUUAUCCCUCUAUAUAUUCCCCCAUGUGCAACCACCUCCACAUAAAUUAACUCCAACAAAACUCAACAAAGGGAGAAAAAAAAUGGCUACUCCUUCCAUUUACUCCCAUUCAUCUAUUGUCAUUCAAGAAUUCUUGAAGAAUUUCCACUCAAGAAGAUUGUUACUCCAUGCUCCUCUUUAUAGUUCACCACCAUUAUCAACUGUAGCAGCAGUUUCCCCGUCCAUUAUGGAACCCAGGGACAACUCAUUCGAUGCAAAUGUUGUAAUGAUCUUAUCAGUCCUCUUGUGUGCUCUAAUAUUUUCACUUGGAUUUAAUUUCCUCAUAAAAUGUGCACUAAGGUGCUUGAAUUCAGUAUCCUCUGAUGAUUCCCCGUCUGCUCGUCUAGCCAACACAGGAAUAAAGAAAAAGACCCUCAAAACAUUCCCUAUAAUAAGUUACACCGGUGAUCUUAACCUUCCAGGUCUGAACACUGAGUGUGCAAUAUGUCUCUCAGAUUUUGCUACAGGAGAACGCGUUCGUGUCCUGCCUAAGUGCAACCAUGGAUUCCAUGUCCGGUGUAUUGACAAAUGGCUGAAUUCACACUCCUCUUGCCCUACUUGUAGGCAUUGUCUAAUUGAAACUUGCCAAAAAUUAGUAAAAUGCAACCAGGUCAGUCCAUCGGCACCAGUAAUCCCACCACCCCAAGAAGUUCUUGUAUGUAUUGCACCUUUGCAACAAGAAGGUUUGGUACGAAAUCAUCAAAGUUAGGUAUAUUUAGCAGAUUCUAUCGGAUAAGAUGGGAUUACGAUGUUAAGUUUUUCUUCUUUUUGUUUGCUUAUAUCUAAGACAAGUAGGGUAGUAUCGUAAUAGGAUGAAAGUGGCAACAUUUUGCACUGAGUUUGGACUGAGGCAAUUCAGUUUAGGGCCUUUAGAAAUUAGUGUUGCAAUUGUAUAUAAAAUUGUUUUUUGUUCCUAAACUCUUGCAACUUAAGCAAAGUCGAUAAAACACGAAUUAUUGAGCUCACUAUACCAAAGUCUUGUCAAACACUUCAGGGCAUGCUUUUGGUACGUUUCAAGAAAUAAAAGAAGAAAUAUGAAGAGAUAUAAAGGUCAUGACAGGUCACUUGAAAUGUACAGGUCAAUGAAAAGUUAAAUGUUAUCAUGGGGAUAAGCCAAGGCAAAAAAAAAAAAAAAGCCGGAAAAGAAAAGAAAAGAAGAGAUAAAUUAUGUGUAGGUUAUGCAAAAUAGAACAUACAAAAGCAAUUAAUACAAUUGAUUGACAUUAUCAACCUUGCAUGCUUACUUCUUGCCUGAAUUUCUUCUCAAUUUACAUGUUUUCAUUAUGGAAAUUGUAAAGAUGGGAAAUAAUAUCUAGCGUAAAUUUGUCAGGUUGGUUACUAUCAUUUCAUGUAAGUUUCUCUUGAAG
rnacentral:lncRNA from 1 species